rnacentral:misc_RNA from 1 species
GAGCAGAUAUCUCAAUUCUAUCUGAUAAGGAAGCCUUUACCUGAUCGAUGUAAAGAAAGGGAGGAGCUACAACAACAUCAACAUCAGUCUCCAAUUUUGUAUCAUUUAAGUCAGAAACAAGCUUAGUGAUAGAUUCCUUUGUCCCAUUACACUUCCAAUUCCCCCCAACAAAGAACUGCAAGCAGAACAAAGAGAAAUAUCAAUAAAUAGGUGGCAUGCCAGAAACGCAAAAAGCACAAGACAAUUAGAGAAGCAACCAAACAAUCUCGAAAAGAUCUUGUUGCUUCUAAACCACUAUUUAAGCAAAUUACUUUCACUUUCCAAGCAAAAAUGAAAUAAGUAAAUAAUGGUAAAGUUCCAACUAUAUCAAGUCUACCAUAUCCAAUACCGGUUUCCUCACAAUGCCCACAUUAAAUAUGCAAAAGAACAAAGAUUAACUAUACAGAAAGCAAGAACCAAAAGGAAUAAAGCUAAGACUAAACAGUAAUUGAAAGCAUUGAAACAAGAUCCAGCAGAGACACACUGCAGAAGAAGGAAAGCACCGUUCCAGUGCCCGCCAUGGCGACGACGUGUCUGGAAGGUUUGCGAGGAGAAGAACAGCGGAGUUGAGAAUUGAAAUGAGGGAGAAAGGAAGAGUGAGAGUUGGUGGCGUCGAGCUUAGUGCAUAAUCGGCGGAGACCGGAGAAAUGAGGAGCUGAAUAUGAAAUAGCUGAUUUGGGGCCGGAGAGAGAUGUUGAGAGCAUCGCCAUGGUUUAGUCGGCUAUGGCUUUUCACUUUCUCUACGGUGGUCUGUGGAAGAGUGGAAAUGGGAGUAGAAGCUGUGGUAUUGUUGCGUUCGUGUGUUAGGUUAGUCGAAGGGUGCCAGGUGGCAGGUUUAGGUUCACGCGAGUCUCCAUCGCGUCACACGCACCGUCGCAGACAUGAUGAUUUCCCUGAUUCCCA